rnacentral:rRNA from 1 species
GCGUGGGAAUAUACCUAUCAGUACGGAACAACAGUUGGAAACGACUGCUAAUACCGUAUACGCCUUCGGGAAGGAUUCAUCGCUGAUAGAUUAGCCCGCGUUAGAUUAGCUAGUUGGUGGGGUAAAGGGCCUACCAAGGCGACGAUCUAUAGCUGGUCUGAGAGGAUGAUCAGCCACACUGGAACUGAGACACGGUCCAGACUCCUACGGGAGGCAGCAGUGGGGAAUAUUGCACAAUGGGCGCAAGCCUGAUGCGGCCAUACCGCGUGUGUGAAGAAGGCUUUCGGGUUGUAAAGCACU